GUGGGGAAUAUUGCACAAUGGGCGAAAGCCUGAUGCAGCGACGCCGCGUGAGCGAAGAAGUAUUUCGGUAUGUAAAGCUCUAUCAGCAGGGAAGAUAAUGACGGUACCUGACUAAGAAGCACCGGCUAAAUACGUGCCAGCAGCCGCGGUAAUACGUAUGGUGCAAGCGUUAUCCGGAUUUACUGGGUGUAAAGGGAGCGUAGGCGGUUUUACAAGUCUGAUGUGAAAGCCCGGGGCUCAACUCCGGUAUUGCAUUGGAAACUGUAGAACUAGAGUGUCGGAGGGGUAAGUGGAAUUCCUAGUGUAGCGGUGAAAUGCGUAGAUAUUAGGAGGAACACCAGUGGCGAAGGCGGCUUACUGGACGAUUACUGACGCUGAGGCUCGAAAGCGUGGGGAGCAAACAGG
rnacentral:rRNA from 1 species